rnacentral:rRNA from 1 species
GUGGGGAAUAUUGCGCAAUGGGCGAAAGCCUGACGCAGCCACGCCGCGUGUGUGAUGAAGGCCUUCGGGUCGUAAAGCACUGUCGGGAGGAAAGAAGAUCUGACGGUACCUCCCAAGAAAGCACCGGCUAACUCCGUGCCAGCAGCCGCGGUAAUACGGAGGGUGCAAGCGUUGCUCGGAAUUACUGGGCGUAAAGCGUACGCAGGCGGCCCGUCAAGUCGGGUGUGAAAGCCCGGGGCUCAACCCCGGAACUGCAUUCGAAACUGACAGGCUUGAAUACGGGAGAGGGAAGCGGAAUUCCUGGUGUAGAGGUGAAAUUCGUAGAUAUCAGGAGGAACACCAGUGGCGAAAGCGGCUUCCUGGCCCGAUAUUGACGCUCAUGUACGAAAGCGUGGGGAGCAAACAGG